rnacentral:rRNA from 1 species
GAUGAACGCUAGCGGCAGGCUUAAUACAUGCAAGUCGAGCGAGGUUACUGUUUUGGAUCCCUUCGGGGUGAAGAAGCUUUAACCUAGCGGCGGACGGGUGAGUAACGCGUGGGUAACCUACCCCAAAGUCCGGGAUAACAGCGGGAAACCGCUGCUAAUACCGGAUGUCUUUACCUUGGGGCAUCUUGAGGUAAAGAAAGGUAACGCUUUGGGAUGGGCCCGCGUCCCAUUAGCUAGUUGGUGAGGUAACGGCUCACCAAGGCGACGAUGGGUAGCCGGCCUGAGAGGGUGGACGGCCACACUGGGACUGAGACACGGCCCAGACUCCUACGGGAGGCAGCAGUAGGGAAUAUUGCGCAAUGGACGGAAGUCUGACGCAGCGACGCCGCGUGAGCGAUGAAGGUCUUCGGAUCGUAAAGCUCUGUCCUUGGGGAAGAAGGCGAAAGCUUGACGGUACCCAAGAAGAAAGCCCCGGCUAACUACGUGCCAGCAGCCGACGGUAAAAGUACUCUAU